rnacentral:rRNA from 1 species
AACGUAGGAGGCGAGCGUUAUCCGGAUUUACUGGGCGUAAAGCGCGUGCAGGCGGUUCGGCAAGUUGGAUGUGAAAGCUCCUGGCUCAACUAGGAGAGGUCGUUCAAUACUACCGAACUUGAGGGCAUCAGAGGAAGGUGGAAUUCCCGGUGUAGUGGUGAAAUGCGUAGAUAUCGGGAGGAACACCAGUGGCGAAGGCGACCUUCUGGGAUGUUCCUGACGCUCAGACGCGAAGGCUAGGGUAGCAAACGGGAUUAGAGACCCCGGUAGUCCUAGCAGUAAACGAUGUAGACUUGGUGUCGGUGGGUUAAAAACCAUCGGUAUCGAAGCUAACGCGAUAAGUCUACCGCCUGGGGACUACGGCCGCAAGGUUAAA